rnacentral:rRNA from 1 species
AACGAACGCUGGCGGCGGGCUUAACACAUGCAAGUCGAACGCCCUAGCAAUAGGGAGUGGCGCACGGGUGAGUAACGCGUGGGAAUGUACCGUUUAGUGGGGGAUAACCAAGGGAAACUUUGGCUAAUACUGCAUACGCCCUUCGGGGGAAAGAUUUAUCGCUAAACGAUCAGCCCGCGUGAGAUUAGGUAGUUGGUGGGGUAACGGCCUACCAAGCCGACGAUCUCUAGCUGGUCUGAGAGGAUGAUCAGCCACACUGGAACUGAGACACGGUCCAGACUCCUACGGGAGGCAGCAGUGGGGAAUAUUGGACAAUGGGGGCAACCCUGAUCCAGCCAUGCCGCGUGAGUGAUGAAGGCCUUAGGGUUGUAAAGCUCUUUUACCGAUGAAGAUAAUGACGGUAGUCGGAGAAAAAGCCCCGGCUAACUUCGUGCCAGCCGCCGCGGUAA